rnacentral:misc_RNA from 1 species
UGGUUCUGGCAUCGAUGAAGAACGCAGCGAAAUGCGAUAAGUAGUGUGAAUUGCAGAAUUCAGUGAAUCAUCGAAUCUUUGAACGCACAUUGCGCCCUUUGGUAUUCCUUAGGGCAUGUCUGUUCGAGCGUCAUUUGAACCUUCAAGCUUGGCUUGGUGUUGGGUGUCUUUGUCCCUGCCUCAGUGUAGGGACUCGCCUUAAAAACAUCGGCGGCGGUAGAGUUAGCCUAGAGCGCAGCAGAGUUCGCGCUUCAGGAUAUCUAACUAGACGCCUGCCACAACCUCAUAUCUUCAAUCUUGACCUCGGAUCAGACAAGGAUACCCGCUGA